UACGGGGGGGGUAAGCGUUGUUCGGAAUUACUGGGCGUAAAGGGCUCGUAGGCGGCCAACUAAGUCAGACGUGAAAUCCCUCAGCUUAACUGGGGAACUGCGUCUGAUACUGGAUGGCUUGGAUUCGGGAGAGGAAUGCGGAAUUCCAGGUGUAGCGGUGAAAUGCGUAGAUAUCUGGAGGAACACCGGUGGCGAAGGCGGCAUUCUGGACUGAUAUUGACGCUGAGGAGCGAAAGCCAGGGGAGCAAACGGG
rnacentral:rRNA from 1 species